UUGCAGAUGUUGAUCAUGAAGAGGUUGUAGCUGAACAGAUGGUGAAAUCCACUAAUAAUUGGAGACAUGGGAGGAGAGUUGUUGAAUUAGGGGUGUUGACAGAUGCUCUAAAGGCUCUACAGCUCGCUCAUGCUGUAGAUAUCCAGACUUAUGGACUAUCGGCUAUCAUUAAGGUUUGAAUAUGAUGUCUCCAGUAUGGAUAUGUUUGACGAUUGUUACCAUGGAAACAAACUCACUGACCAACAUGUAUGUCAAAACAGGUUUUGAACAUGAUGUCUCCAGCAAGGAUAUGUUUGAUGACGGUUACCAUGGAAACGAACUCAUGGACCUAUGUCAAAAAUGUCUUUUUCUGUUAAAAUAAAUAUAAUGCUAUCCAUUUCACUCAAUUUUAGAAUUUUUUAAUUAUUCUGAUGUCAGCCAUACACUUCCGGGUUCUCUACAGUUUUUAAAUAUGAUGUAUCCAGCAAAGAUAUGUUUGGUGAUGGUUACCAUGGAAACGAACUCACAGACCUAUUUAGAAAUGACUUUUUCUGUUAGAUUAAAACUAAUGCUAAUUACUUUAAUCACUUUAGGAAUUUUUUCAUUGCUCUGAUGUCAGUUCCAUACCCCAUUUUAGACAAAUAGUAAAUUUCAGUAAAUUAUGAUGUCUCCAGCAAGGGUAUCUUUGAUGUUCGUUAC